CAACAAUCUUUUCACAGAAAUGGAAAUUACUGCCAUGUCAUUGUAUUCCCUGACCAUGUACAGUGAACAAAAUAGCCAAUUAAAGAGUGUGACAACCACUGUCUUGAAAUUCCUACAGGCAGCUGCAAAGGAACACCACAAUGAUAUUCCACUGGAAAAAGGGCCAAACCACCUGAUCAUAAGAACAUCUUAUCAAUAUCCUCCUGGGCAGCAAGCCAUACUGCCCAGCUCCCUCCCACCCAUACCUCAGCUGCAACCAGGAUCACCCCCAUUGCUGGACAUCACAUCCAACACUGGGCUUCAAUUCGUGGGGGCUCUUCGUCUUCUCCCCAUUGGUGCUGGAAGUUGGCUGUUCCAUGAUUCUGGUUGGUUGUAGAAUGUCUAUAGUAGGCUCCUGUAGACUGCAGACUUCCACAGCUAUGUUGAAGCUUCCCAGUGGGAUGUCCCAGAGCUCUUGCCCUCCCUAUAUAUACCCUCCUGGUGACAAGGCAAAGCCACACCCUUGAGCUUUGUUUGAUCAUACAGGCAGUGUCCCAGCCAAUGGCGGUCCUAAGGUGGCUUUGACAUCACAAAGCCCCACUGCUGACCACUCCUUGGGCUUGUGGGGGAGGGGUGACAGGGAUGUAGAGGAAACCAAAUGCGGUUGUUGUUUCAGCAUCCCCUGAAGAUGCAUCCCAAACCGAUCUGCCGCCGCUCCUCAUUUCUCCAUGUUUAAUGUUCAUGGUUCACAUGGAAGUCAGAGGAUGAUUCCUUCAAGCCCUUCCCCACAGCCAUUCCUAUGAAGUGAUUCAUUCUUUUGUCUUCCAGCCCUCACCAUGACUUAGUAUUUUAGAUGUCUCACCUCAAAUCCCCCAAGCUAGUGUGGCUACAUUUAAUUAUUAGUUAUUAAUUACUAGUUACAUUUAAUAAUUAAUAAUUAAUUAUCCCAUUUCCCUCCUACAGUUCCUUCAUAUGCACCUUGAAGACCAUUUACUUUUAGGCUACUGCCAGGCAAAUUUCAACCCAUGUUAUUUUACUCAAUGUCCGUGUAGUUCUUUUAAAUUUCCUAUUUCCAAUCUGCAAUAAUGGCCUUCAGUCUGUCAAAAUUUUAGUGAAUAAACAUUCUUUACUGUGUAUCCUAGUCUUGUUUCAAAUGAGGGGUGUAUUUUCAUAGUAAAUGUAGUCUCCCAACAUGAAUUCUGCCAGUAUGUGGGUGGGGGAAGGAGUGGAUAUUCAAGUGCUGGAAGUUGUUCUCAGUGUUUACAUGCAGGAUGCUACAAUCUAAGACCCACAUGUGCACCAGUAUGGGCAUAGUUAUACUUUGUACUGAAGAUUGUGUCCAGUGCAAAAAGAAAAAUGCAUUCAGUUUGG
rnacentral:lncRNA from 10 species